rnacentral:misc_RNA from 1 species
GGAAGUAAAGUCGUAACAAGGUUUCCGUAGGUGAACCUGCGGAAGGAUCAUUAUUGUAUAACCGAGGUGCGAGGGCUGUCGCUGACCCGAAAGGUCGUGCACGCCCAAGUGCCCACACACACAUCCAUCUCACCCCUAUGUGCACCACCGCGUGGGUCCCCCUUUGGCUUGUUCGGAGGGGGGCUUACGUUUUCACACAAACUUUGUAUGCAGUGUAGAAUGUAUUUUUUGCUUUUGCGAUCACGCAAUCAAUACAACUUUCAACAACGGAUCUCUUGGCUCUC